AAGCUUGUUUGGGAAGUUCUUGAAGGUGGUCUGAAGAGUAAGAUAGAAAUCCAGUGGUCUGACAUUAUGGGUCUGAAAGCCAACUGUCCUGAUAAUGCACCUGGGACAUUGACUGUUGUGCUGGCUAGACAGCCUCUUUUCUUUAGGGAGACUAAUCCACAGCCCCGAAAGCACACCUUAUGGCAGGCGACAGCAGAUUUUACUGAUGGACAGGCUAAAGGACACAGGCAACAUUUUCUGCAAUGUCCACAAGGGCUGUUAAAUAAACAUUUUGAAAAGCUCGUCCAGUGUGACAUCCGUUUGAACUUUUUAAGUCGACAGCCAGAGAUAAUUUUGGAUUCACCGUAUUUUGAACAGCGUUCAUCUGUUUUUGAGGAUCCAGAUGAAUCAAAAGGUCAUGAUUUUAAUCAGGUGGAGACUGGUAAAGGAUCCUCUAUUUCGGGUUUCCAAGAUCUAGCAUCACCAUCUGCCGCUCACUCAUCUUCCUUAGAGUUUGAAAAGGGGGAUCAUGCUGGUACAUCAUCAGAGCACAUGUCCCGA
rnacentral:misc_RNA from 1 species